rnacentral:rRNA from 1 species
UACGUAGGGUGCGAGCGUUAAUCGGAAUUACUGGGCGUAAAGCGUGCGCAGGCGGUUUUGUAAGCCAGAUGUGAAAGCCCCGGGCUUAACCUGGGAAUGGCAUUUGGGACUGCAAGGCUUGAGUGCGGCAGAGGAGACUGGAAUUCCCGGUGUAGCGGUGAAAUGUGUAGAGAUCAGGAGGAACGCCGGCGGCGAAGGCGGCUCUCUGGACGGUGACUGACGCUGAGACGCGAAAGCGUGGGGAGCAAACAGG